rnacentral:rRNA from 1 species
AUACUAGGUGUAGGGGUUGUCAUGACCUCUGUGCCGCCGCUAACGCAUUAAGUAUUCCGCCUGGGGAGUACGGUCGCAAGAUUAAAACUCAAAGGAAUUGACGGGGGCCCGCACAAGCAGCGGAGCAUGUGGUUUAAUUCGAAGCAACGCGAAGAACCUUACCUAGACUUGACAUCUCCUGAAUUACCCUUAAUCGGGGAAGCCCUUCGGGGCAGGAAGACAGGUGGUGCAUGGUUGUCGUCAGCUCGUGUCGUGAGAUGUUGGGUUAAGUCCCGCAACGAGCGCAACCCUUAUUGUUAGUUGCUACCAUUUAGUUGAGCACUCUAGCGAGACUGCCCGGGUUAACCGGGAGGAAGGUGGGGAUGACGUCAAAUCAUCAUGCCCCUUAUGUCUAGGGCUACACACGUGCUACAAUGGCUGGUACAGAGAGAUGCUAAACCGCGAGUGGAGCCAAACUUUAAAACCAGUCUCAGUUCGGAUUGUAGGCUGAAACUCGCCUACAUGAAGCUGGAGUUGCUAGUAAUCGCGAAUCAGAAUGUCGCGUGAAUACGUUCCCGGGCCUUGUACACACCGCCCGUCACACCAUGAGAGUUGCAAUACCCAAAGUUCGUGAGCUAACGCGUAAAGCGGGCAGCGACCUAAGGUAGGGUCAGCGAUUGGGGUGAAGUCGUAACAAGGUACC